rnacentral:rRNA from 1 species
GAUGAACGCUGGCGGCGUGCCUAAUACAUGCAAGUCGAGCGAACGGACGAGAAGCUUGCUUCUCUGAUGUUAGCGGCGGACGGGUGAGUAACACGUGGUUAAACUAACUAUAAGACUGGGAUAACUUCGGGAAACCGUAGCUAAUACCGGAUAAUAUUUUGAACUGCAUGGUUCAAAAGUGAAAGACGGUAUUGCUGUCACUUAAAGAUGGCCACGCGCUGCAUUCGUUAGUUGGUAAGGUAACGGCUUACCAAGGCAACGAUGCAUAGCCGACCUGAGCGGGUGAUCGGCCACACUGUAUCUGAGACACAGUCGAGACUCCGACGGGGGGCAACGGUAGGGAAUCCUCCGCAAUGCACGAGUGCCUAACGUUGCACCGUCGCGUAAGUCAUGAAGGACUUCUGCUCGGAAAACGCUGUAAGUAUGGAAGAUGAUAUGUGUAAGUAACUGUGAUCAUCUUGACGGUACCUAGUCAGAAAGCCACGGCUAACUACGUG